GCAGGCUUUCCUUUGCUAAAAGUGACCCUGAAAUUGCCUGGAUUGAUUCGCACAAAUACAGGGUGCCACAUCCUGCUAAGCGGAGCCAUUCUGUGAAACGCUUUGCUCCAGGAGGAGUGCUAAUCCAGGCAUCAGCAGAGGUGGAAGUGUUUGAAACACUGCUUUUCUUAGAGUCAAAGCGAACGCUUCUGAGAAAUUCAAAAGCAUGGAAAGACAAAUUCAGUGGUAACUAAUGAAAAUACAAUCGCUAUAGGCAUGAUUCAUCCUUGCAAAAAUGAUAUGAAGAAGGGAAGGAAUGUUUGGAUCCCUGGAGAACCGAGUAGAUGUUGUCGUAUCAGGCCCAUCAGGCAGAAGGACUGGGAACUUCAGUGGUCCAAGGAACGUCUCGGUGUGAUGAUUCAGUAACUUGAACACGUGCUGUAUGCGGUGAAUUGUAAGUCUGAAGAGACUGAAAUGAUUGAGUAAGUUUUGGCUACUCAUAAAUUUUUCAGUUUGUGUUGCAGAAAGAGAAAAGGGGGGGAGGCAAGCCAGGCCCGGGGAGCUGUUAAAAGAAAGAACAAAAGAAGAAGUAUUGACAGGCAGCGAGGAGGUGUCAGUUUACUCAUUUAUUUGUUUUUCCUGUACCACUUCCCGGCUAGUUUGCAUUAGGCCCAGUAUGAAUUCAUGAAAUUUGAAUGAGUUUGCAAUACUUUUCAGAUAAGAGUAGUCCUUGCACAGAAAAAAGAGGUAAGAUGUAGUAUUCAAUUAUGCAAGAAUAGGGAGAAAGUACAGAGGAGCUGGCUCGAGGCAAAUAGACUAAGUGCUGGAGAAAGCAGCGGUGCUAUUGACGUGUCUUUUAAUGAUUAUUUAUUAAGAACAGAUGAUACGUGCACUCUCCCUUUCUGUCUUCUCUUCAGCUAGAUGCCAUCAAUAGAGGAAGGCUAACAACAGUGGUUUUGGGAUAGACAUAUAUUAGGAGAGUGUCAGAGGCUACAAAGAGACAGAAGUACAGAUAUGG
rnacentral:lncRNA from 1 species